UUGUCGAGCCACACUGAUGGAUGGGCCUGGAAUGGCCUUGUUUGCUGCCAGGGCGAUGCGCGGCAGCUGCUUAACAGCCCUGUGAGUGACCCUGGUCAGCACUUUCAAGGCAGGAAGCACAGAAGAAUAGAGUGUCCACUUAAAGCUACCACAAAAGCGGUGGGAGGAGGAACUUCCUCCCCUUGUAAACAGGCCAGCAGGCUGGUCACUGUAAUUACGCACACACAAAUGAGGGAGCAGGGGAAAGAGGAUGAAUGGAAGCAAAGCUCUCAAGCAACCCUAGAGUGGCCCCUCGUUGCCCUAGAACACAACUGAAACCUGCAACCCCGUGCACCUUGAACACAGGACAAGGUCUCCAUCACAGAACCUAAGAGGGUAGAGAAAAAAUCCUUCCUUCUCCUGACGUGACAAAUCAGAAAGAAAACACACCCAGAAAAAGCCACUACUCAUGAUGAAAAUUAGUAAGAUACUAAUGGAGUCCCACUCUGUCGCUAGGCUGGAGUGCGGUGGCUCACCACAACCUCCGCCUCCUGGGUUCAAGCAAUUCUCCUGCCUCAGCCUCCCAAGUAACUGGGACUACACGUACAUGCCACCACACCCAGUUUUAGUUACAGGACCUCCAGAAAUUCUGGAUUAACGAAGAUUGGAAACAUCAUUUGCAAAUGCUUCCCAGGUCACCUUACAAUCUCAAGAUAAUUAUUCUUCUAUUAAACAGAGGAUACAGAAGACGCUGUAUUACAAGGCCUGCGUAAAAAUGUAUUA